UACGAAGGGGGCUAGCGUUGCUCGGAAUCACUGGGCGUAAAGCGCACGUAGGCGGAUUGCUAAGUCAGGGGUGAAAUCCUGGAGCUCAACUCCAGAACUGCCUUUGAUACUGGCGAUCUCGAGUUCGGGAGAGGUGAGUGGAACUGCGAGUGUAGAGGUGAAAUUCGUAGAUAUUCGCAAGAACACCAGUGGCGAAGGCGGACUCACUGGCCUGUUCUUGACGCUGAGGCGCGAAAGCUAGGGGAGCAACGGGG
rnacentral:rRNA from 1 species